rnacentral:ncRNA from 2 species
UGAACAUCAUAUUUAAUAGGUGCCCGCAAGGGACAAUAGGGAACCAGGUUGAAUUCCUGGACGGACCCACCACUGUAAUUAGAUGAUGAAAAUGUGCAUUAGCCACUGGGAUAACCGGGAAGGCGUACAUCGGAGUCUAUAAGUCAGGAGACCUGCCUAUAAAAUAUCGCCAAA